rnacentral:rRNA from 1 species
UGCGUAGGCGGCUCAGAAAGUAGGGUGUGAAAGCCCUCGGCUCAACCGAGGAAUUGCGCCCUAAACUACUGGGCUGGAGGAACGCAGAGGUAAGCGGAACUUAGGGUGGAGCGGUGAAAUGCGUUGAUAUCCUAAGGAACACCAGGAGCGAAAGCGGCUUACUGGGCGUUUUCUGACGCUGAUGCACGAAAGCUAGGGGAGCGAACGGGAUUAGAUACCCCCGGUAGUCCUAGCCGUAAACGAUGAGCACUGGAUUGGAGGCCCCCCCAUAGGCUUCUAGUCGUAGCGAAAGUGUUAAGUGCUCCGCCUGGGGAGUAUGGUCGCAAGGCUGAA